rnacentral:lncRNA from 1 species
AUCAAUGCAUUUGUAUACUAGGGGCAGGUCUUAGCCUGUCCCUAUGCCCUUUCACUCUAGGGAUCUCUACAUCCUCCUCUUUCCCACUCCACCUGAGCCACCUACGCCUCUUUGGGGGACCCUUGUGCCAAGAAACCUACCUUAAUCCAGAUCAAGUGAAUGAAGCCUGGGAUUCUGGAUCUCAAGGUCUCCUCAAACUUCUUCCCUCACAUCCGAGUCUCUUCCUCCCCUAGGAGUCUCCUGGUGCAUGGAACUGACCUGAAACUGGGGUUCCCCCAAAGCCUCUGUCUUCCUUCUGUAGCUGAGCUGCUUCAGCCUCUGUGGGACACCCAUUUGAAGGAACCUGUCUAAAUCCAUGUAAGGUGAGUCAUGGCUGGGGAGGAAGGCUGCUGAUGAAAGGCUUACUGUCCUAACUUAAAUAGGAGGGUUGCUUCUUUCAGGGAGUUGGAUAAAGUUGCGUUUGGUGACUAGCCUGGCUGACUGUGAGAUUGUCACUCCAUCAUAUGUAGUGCAUCUGAGGGGGUCUAGAGGGAUGCGGGCAUGAAAAUCACAUUAGCAAGAGCCCCAGGGCA